UCAACAAUCGCAUCACUUCAUCUCUUCACCUGUGCGCUGAAAAAUUAGAAUAUUCUAUACUACCGCAUUCACAAUCCGUUCCUGCAGUAUUCUCUGCUAGUGCUGUGUACCCAAUGAAGAGUUGCCGCUCCCGCGAUUGGCGCUCAGCGUCGCGACGGCGCAAAACUCGACGACGCCCAGCCCGCGACGCACCUGCGCGCUUUUCAUCUCCCACCUCACAAAGCGCACACCACAAUACAACACAGCGUGAAAAUAAAGACGUGCGUUGUGCAACGAUGUGUUCCAACUAGAAGACUCAGAUUACUGUUGUGUGUUAUUACAAUUAGACGCGCGCACCCUAUGAAAAAGGGAAAUACGUCAGCACAUUGCGGCGACGCUCACCACGGGAGAAUGUCAACGAUUGUACGAUGUACGUGCCUUCUUCGCAACUUCUCAACAAACGGCAAUAAAUACCAACUUUGACCCCCCUCAUAAAUUAAAUCGACAUAACAGAUUUAUUGUGACCCGGGAGUUUGGACAGCGGGAGGAAGUGGCCGUCGAUAUAGUAUAAUCUACGAGUAUUCCAGGAUUUUCCGGAAAUUAAGACAAUCCACCCCAUAGCAUCCAGAACUUCGUAAACCAGGUUUGAUUCAUUUUCAUCUUCUUUUCUUAUUCUUAUUCUUUGUGUCUCGAUAUUAUUUUAUUUUCACAACGCGUAAAAUUAAUUUGUUUACUUCUUUUGCGGUACAUGAAACAAAACCCAAACAAACAAUUGAUUAAUUCAUCGAUACUUUAAUAAUGCAACGCAUGCAUAAUAAUCUUUGGCGGCGAGUUGAAAGUGAAGCCAAAUACAAAUAUUUGCGAAUAAAUUUCUUGCUCGGCGCCAAUCGGAUUGUCGUUACUCAUUAGAUUAUAAAAU